rnacentral:misc_RNA from 1 species
AACGCAAAUUGCACUCUCUGGUAUUCCGGAGAGUAUGCCUGUUUGAGGGUCAGUUAAAUAAAAAUCGGUGUUGUUGCUGCCUUGCGUGGUGAUGCAUCGGAUUUGGGUCGUCUUACCUUUGGUUAAGUGACCUAAAAUUUUGCAUGAUUUUUCGAACGUAUGUAUUUAAAUUAUUUACGUACGUUUUUGAUAUCGAAUAUUAGGAGUGGUCAUUCUCAUGAUUCGCGCCUAUAAUUUUUCAUCAAAAUGACCUCAAAUCAGGUAAGAGUACCCGCUGAACUUAA